rnacentral:rRNA from 1 species
ACGUUUAGGGGUAGGAUGGCACUCUUCGAUCCCAAUCCUCUGCUCAGUCAGUCUGGGAGAGCAAACCGCGACCUGCCGCUCGCAGCCCGCCGCUCGCCGCCCGCCGCCCGCCGCGGCCACUAAGGAGAGACCACUAACAGGGCGAUUCACCGUCGGGACGAGGCUCGCAAGGCACGACCCGGCCGCCGGUCGCUCGCCGCGCCGACUAUGGAGAGGCCGCUAACAGGCCGGUCGGCACGAGUUAGGGGUUGACCUAAACCCGGGGAUCUAACCCGAUCUAAACGUUUCGUUUGUCUCCUCCGCUCAUCGAGCACUGAGUAACCCAACAGAGGAGGUUCAAGUCGUGUAGAUUUUUCCUUCAUCCUCUCUCCUGCUCAUUGAUACCUUACGGUUUCACUUCACUCGUUCCGAGGAAGAAACCGAUAAACACUACAGGUCAGACUGCGUCUUAGUCGGCAGGUGUGAUCCGGUUCAGACCUGUAACCCAAAUGAUGUGGUGUCUUUAGGAUAUCACGUGGAAAAACACCGAGUAGAACAUGAGGUCUCACACUACUACGGUAGUCUGGUCGGUAACCCUACUGAAAACGACUAAACUUGCGUCGGUUCCUCAAGAUACUUCGAAUACGUGUAGUACAACCAAAAAGUCAUGCACACCCCGUCGUUUUCUAACAGUUACCACAGUAAUGAGUGUUCGCAAAGAUGACACUGGCACUUCCAAAGGCACUUCUCGCCUUUCCAUUCCUUUGAAACCAUCGAUCGUGACCAUCAUUCUCCUCUAUACUCUCCUUUUAGUGAUCUACACCCACGCUUCGAUUUGAACGUCAGUUUGCGUGCCAGCUCUUAUUCAUGUAACACUGUGAAAAGCUUGUCCUCGUGUGUGUGUGUGAACAUAGUGGGUCAUUUUUUGUUAAGUAGUCUAGUUUGUCCUUUCAAUCGGUUGUUCGUUUUUGAUGUAAUACCUUGACAGUAUUUCGAUCGUAACCGUGUAGGGAUCGUAUGUCCAAGGAAGCACAUCUGAACCCCCCAAAACUCUUACAACCGACAUGUUUCUCUCUGAACGUUUUAGUGGUGGCUUUGGAAUCCACGGAGUAGUUCAGUAGGCUACGAGUUUACAAACAACUGGUCGAACGAUCUUUUGUAGAACGUUUAAGUCCUAAAAUAAAACUGAUACAAGAACUACUAUUCCCGUCUGACCAUGUACACAAGACCCGCCUACGGUGUACAUCCUUUUUAAUACGAGAUAAACCUCUCGAACACAGGAAACUGAGGUGCAUAUCGUGGUUAGUUAUAUUGUACUAUAAGUGGGGGAAAUGACCUUAGUUAGUGGUAUUCCGUUCACAAACAAAACCACGACGUUACAAUGUGCUACUCUUCCGUCUAAGAAUGUUCACCAACAAAGCGUGUAAGAACUUUCGAUACCCUCCCCAACGUGGAUCCAAAUAUUAUUGACUGCUUACAUCAUCGUACCUGUUACGUUAUUCCCUUCAAAAGGGUCGUCGGCGUGUAUCCGAUACGUACACCGUAUAAUACUUAUUCUAGGGAGUUUUCCAACCGGGACUAAACUUCUGGCUACUCCUAAAGGUACUUGCUAAUCCAGCCACGCACACCAGAAGACUUUGAGGAUGACUUAAACUCCUUGCUACCUUUCUUUAAUACAGUCUCAUACCCAACCUUCUACUACUUACCAAGUCAUUUUCCAAGUCGGAAGCUCUUAGUACCUAUGGUCGAAUAAAGUUUCUUUAUCGAAACAGUCCCGAAUACGCCUGAUGAAGUUCCAGUCUCUCACGGUUAAGAAAGAAGAGUGCAUAAUAACCAAUGUUUGUACGAAACCAACUCAAAACCGAAUCUAAACUGUGUCGAAACCUUCUUGUUGCAGUAUUCCUCAACGUUCUCCUGGUACACUCGGAUGUAUGCUACGGACACAACUUCUGUAGCACCCGCUAACUUUUCGUACCGUCGCUCCACAAGUGCGUACUCUAUAAAGUCCUAAAAGUUGUACUCAACGAACGACUAUCCCUAGCAACGGAACAACUCUACUACCGUGUACUACCACUCCAUUUUUGUCAUUGAUAUGUACUACCGAUAUUCUUUGAUUCCCACCAUUGAAUGUUGUGUUGUUGGUACCAUCCAAGAACGUGUACAUUCAACAAACUCUGUGUACCAUAGGGUACAGCAGUAGACUAGGUACAGGAUUCUUGACGGGUUGAUUUACUUAACGGUUUCGUAAUACAUGAGUUUUCCAAAUCUUUCCUGACGUUUUGGCUCGGUUAGAAACUGCUCCUGCCGUAAGAUAACCUUCCGUUACUCUCGUCAAGUUAACUAGGCCUCUAUGUUUUUAAUCGAAGUCUUUGUACAUUCUUCUACCUUCUGUAAAAUCAUGUUCGCUUCGUUAGAUUCCAGCCGUAGGUUAAGAACUCUCUAGUAUAAAAACGUGAACCUCUCGUUAACAGAUGGGUUCAAGGUCGCUUUUUUGUUUGAGUUUGUCUUCUUAAACUCCUUAAAAAUCCAACAAGGUAAGGUUCACUCCAAGUAUAGGUAGGAGGUUUACUAUAAGCUAGUUCCCCAUCUUAGUUUUCUGAUUUCCCCAUGUCCCUAUUCCCACCUUUCGUUUCUGUCUUUCUCUUCUUGUUCUUGUUCCUGUUCCUUUACGUCGUCUGUACUAAUACCAACGAACCACCGGGAUGGCUGAAGACGUUCAAUAAUCCUGAUUUUAAUAGGGUAACCAUACAAGAACAGAUCUCACUUCCUCGAUAAUCAACAACCACGGUGUGAAGACGUUCAAUAUUCGAUCACAUGACCUCGAUACACGAGUUACUGACUACAUAUAUUUCCACAUUUAAACGAUAGUGACAAUGACUGCGCAGAUAAAACAUUCACACAUGACCUCACUCCGUAAUAGAACCCACUGACUUAGUCUAACUACAACGUAUUAGUGUGAUACACGUCGACAUGACAAACGGAAUGAAUUUAGAUAAGACCCGUUACCAGAGUUAACGACCUUACACGAUACAGUCCUCAAGAACUUGACCC